GCCUACCUGGCUCCGCUUGCCUCUCCCCGCUCGCUCUCCAGCCACUGCAAUAAUCCCCGGAUCCUGGACCGAAGAAAGAUUAACUCCAACUGACUGUAACUUCUUUAUUUCUCAGAGCUGUAAAUAAACCUUUA